AGACGGCCGUUUCUCAACAUCGCACUCAACUGCGUCAGGACCGUGACUGUCUGCAGAGCAAUGGCGCUGGAUCACCACCAAUCACCAGAAGUCAAUCACUUCUAUAUUUAUCAAUAAAACAUACUGUGGAGACAGCCCUCUCUGAACAUCACACUCAACUGCGCCAGGACCAUGAAAGCAGGAGGAGCUGGAUGACUGUCUGCAGAGCAUUGGCUUUUGUACCAUCACUCACAGAGGAACCUGUGAAGAGCCUGGGAAAGGUGUUCAAUUGUAGCCUGAGAGACGCAGCCUCCACAAGAGCGACC